rnacentral:sRNA from 1 species
AGGAAAAAAUUCAAACAUAUGAAUCUACAACAUCGUCUCAAUCAAAAGAAAUAUCAAGUUUAGAUUCAUUGGCUCAUGUUUUAGGAAGCCAAGAGCAUUGUGGACGUGUUCGUGGUCUAGGUUUGGGUCCUUGCCCAUCGAAAGUCUUUGGAGUCCAUGCUCGUUCUCAUAUUGGAUCAUCUUCAUCUACUCCUUCUAAUGUUGAAUUACAAUCUCAGGUAUCUUCAUUGACUUCUUCUAAUGUUAAAUUAGAAUCUCA